GAUGAAGAACGUAGCGAAAUGCGAUAAGUAAUGCGAAUUGCAGAAUUUCCGUGAGUCAUCGAAUCUUUGAACGCACAUUGCGCCCACUGGUAUUCCGGGGGGCAUGCCUGUCCGAGCGUCAUUGCUGCCCUCAAGCACGGCUUGUGUGUUGGGCCUCCGUCCUCCUCCCGGGGGACGGGCCCGAAAGGCAGCGGCGGCACCGCGUCCGGUCCUCGAGCGUAUGGGGCUUCGUCACCCGCUCUUGUAGGCCCGGCCGGCGCUUGCCGACACAUCAAUCUUUUUUCCAGGUUGACCUCGGAUCAGGUAGGGAUACCCGCUGAACUUAAGCAUAUCAAUAAGCGGAGGA
rnacentral:misc_RNA from 1 species